GAUGAAGAACGUAGCGAAAUGCGAUAAGUAAUGUGAAUUGCAGAAUUCAGUGAAUCAUCGAAUCUUUGAACGCACAUUGCGCCCGCUAGUAUUCUGGCGGGCAUGCCUGUCCGAGCGUCAUUUCAACCCUCAAGCCCCCGGGCUUGGUGUUGGGGAUCGGCGAGCCUCCGCGCCCGCCGUCCCCUAAAUCUAGUGGCGGUCUCGCUGUAGCUUCCUCUGCGUAGUAGCACACCUCCCACUGGGAAACAGCGCGGCCACGCCGUUAAACCCCCAACUUCUGAACGUUUGACCUCGGAUCAGGUAGGAAUACCCGCUGAACUUAAGCAUAUCAAUAAGCGGAGGA
rnacentral:misc_RNA from 1 species